AGGACGAACGCUUGCGACGUGCCUAAGAAAUGCAAGUCGAACGAGGUAGCAAUACCUAGUGGCGAACGGUCGCGUAACACGUGGGCAACCUGCCCCAGAGCGGGGGACAACAAUCCGAAAGGGUUGCUAAUACCGCAUGUGAAGGGAGAUGGCAUCAUCUUCUUUUCAAAGCCUUGUGCACUCUGGGAUGGGCCCGCGGCCUAUCAGCUAGUUGGUGGGGUAACGGCCUACCAAGGCAUCGACGGGUAGCUGGUCUGAGAGGACGAUCAGCCGGAUUGGGACUGAGAUACGGCCCAGACUCCUACGGGGGGCAGCAAUUAGGAAUCUUGCACAAUGGGGGAAACCCUGAUGCAGCGACGUCGCGUGGAGGAUGAAAUCUUUCGGGAUGUAAACUCCUUUUAAACGGGGAAGAAAAAAAUAGAACGGUACCCGUUGAAUAAGCCCGGCUAACUACGUGCCAGCAGCCGC
rnacentral:rRNA from 1 species